AUUUUGAAGGCAUCUACUAAAGCAAUUACUCUCAGUGAAGUUUGCCUUUUGUUCUAGGGCUGAAGAUCAGCUGGAUUAUGUAUUUCGUUGUGGAAUCUCAGGGCAGUCCACACACAGUAAUUUCUUCCUCAUGUUAUCUAAGUCAAGAGGAACAAUACAUUUUUAACAAGAAUCAGUAACUGGAAGUACAAAAUUGGUUAUUUAAUGUUAAAAUGAAGUUUUGAUCAGCAGAGGUAAGAUCAUUUGUUUUCUAUUUAAUGAGUAAUAGAUUAGAAUAUUUGUAAAAUUUCUGUGAA
rnacentral:lncRNA from 1 species